UUGAUAACUCGAGCAUUUCCAACUCGGCCCUAGUAAUAUCCUGAGGCUCCCUCCCAAAUCAAUUCCCGCUCCCUCAUUUCAAUUCUCCCGCCAUUCCCAAACAUUAAUAACAAAAACCCUAAAACAAAAUUCAAUUCCAAGUAACCCUGUAAUCACUCUCGAUUUUGUGAUUAGGUUUUCUUCUGUUUUGGGUUUUAGAUGAAGGUUUUAGAGCCUUAGGGUUUUUGUGUUUUGUUUUGAUUUGAUUUGAUAGAAAGACGGUGGAUAAUGAGUGCAGUGAAUCUUACUAACGUUACCGUGCUAGAUAAUCCGGCGCCCUUUUUGUCCCCGUUUCAGUUCGAGAUCUCUUAUGAGUGUUUGACUCCUCUUAAAGACGAUUUGGAAUGGAAACUAAUCUAUGUGGGGUCUGCUGAGGAUGAAACAUAUGACCAACUGUUGGAGAGUGUGCUUGUUGGGCCUGUCAAUGUUGGAAAUUAUCGUUUUGUCUUACAGGCAGACCCACCUGACCCAUCAAAGAUUCGUGAUGAAGAUAUCAUUGGUGUCACAGUACUUUUGUUGACGUGCUCUUAUUUAGGUCAGGAAUUUGUUCGAGUUGGCUACUAUGUGAACAAUGAUUAUGAAGAUGAGCAGCUUAGAGAGGAACCUCCACCUAAAGUGUUGAUUGAUAAGGUCCAAAGAAACAUCCUAUCUGAUAAACCCAGGGUUACAAAGUUCCCCAUCAAUUUUUAUCCUGAAAAUACUGAGGGUGCGGAGGAACCUCUUGCGAACGAUCAACCUGCUGAAACUGAUGGAAAUGAAGAACGACUGCCUGCUUCUCCUCAUCAUUCUUCAGAUAAAGAAGGGCCUUAAAUUACAAUCAGCAUCAACUCCUGGCCUCCCAAGUUUCUCAUUCAGGUUCAUAUCAUCAGGAUUUUAGAGCAGUGUUCGUGUUUUCCUCUUCUGUAGUGUUGCGAGGUAUUUAUGCAUAUGCAUAUUAUGAAACAGCAAAAUGAUCCCUGCGAUCCGCAACAACGAUGCUUCAAUUUGGAUGAUAGUCGGGGGUUGAUUUGUAUCCCUAAGCACUGCUUUUUCACUUUUCUCCAGAGGUAGAUACAAGCGGGUGUCGCUCCUAGAAUCUAUGUAAAAAAUAACUUGCUGUGAAGUUUGGUUCUGUCAAAAUCUAAAUCGAACUUCAUUUGUCUGAAAAGGAUUCAAAUUUUGUUCUUUAACGUUCGAGCAAAUUUGAGAUUGUUCA